GUUAAUGUUUUUUCUGUUCGUAGUUUCUGCCAAAAAAAAAAAGUGCAUAAUAUAAUAAAAAAGUGAAGUAAACCAAAGGAAAUUAGAUUCCCUUUCUCUGUCCUCUUAUUUUUCAAUUUCAUCUUCAUGGUUGGAAUUAAGAUAGUAACCAAAGCUUUGUAUUCGACAAUUCAAUUAGGCUUGGAUAUCAUCUAAAACAAGAAAUAAUGUGGUUUGGUUGUUAGAUUCAGUAGUAUGUAUAAUAGAGUGACAUAAACAAAAUGGCGAUUUGUGAGCUUUCUCUCUCCUCUUCAUUUACAUUUCUUCAACUUUCAGAAAAAUGGAAGGGAACCAGCCUGAAAAGCAUCCUGAAAAAAAGCAAUUGAAGAGGAACAUAAGUUCUGGUUGUGAAUUUAAAGACGGUGAGACAAUUGCAUUCUUAAAGAAGAGCAACAAGAAAGGAUCAAAGAGUUCCAAAAUGAUGAAAUGAGGCCAUCGACCACCAUCAAUCAACAGUUGUUGAACGACAUCAACAACACAUUUAACACAAUUGCAACAGAUAAAUCACCUUGAAAGGAAAACGCAGAAAGAGGUAGCUGUAAGACUUUCAAAAGCAAAAGCCAUAGAGAAAAUGAAAGAGAAGGAAACUUGAAGGCCUUGAGAAGAGUGGUGUAACGACUAAACCAAAAUCUGAACCAGAAGAGGCAACCAAGAAAAGAAAGCUAGGGGAGAAAUAAUGCUCACAAGUACUGUCGUGUCUGCAGGUCAAGAUGUGUCGCCUGAAAAGGUCGUGAGUAGAUUCAAGCGACCGACGACAAGGGAUAGACGACCAGAAGCUAGGUUAAGAUUGUUGGUCAAGACCCAAGGUUCAGCGCCGUCAAGAGGUUUGAUCAGGUCAAAGGAGCAAUCAACAACCAAUUAAGCUGUUGCAUACGGGCGGAAGACGUGCAGAAGUUGGCCACAACUAACUCCUAUUUUCCGAGGAUUCUCCUAACUAAUCUAUCAGUUACCCUAAAAGCUAUAAAAAGAGGAGGCCAUGCCAAGCAAAAGACACGUUCACUCAAGCACUCAAGCAUCCAAGCAAUAUAACAUUAUUAUUCUAGCAAUCAUUAAACAAUCAUUGUAUUUUCAUUAAGGAAAACAUUCUUUUUUUUUUUUACUUAGAUUAUUAGGGAUAUUAGUGGAUUGGUAACCUCAUUGCUACCUGCGGUUUUUCUCCCUAUUCCUGAAUUUUCUGCAUCACC